GACGAACGCUGGCGGCGUGCCUAAUACAUGCAAGUAGAACGCUGAAGGAGGAGCUUGCUCUUCUGGAUGAGUUGCGAACGGGUGAGUAACGCGUAGGUGACCUGCCUGGUAGCGGGGGAUAACUAUUGGAAACGAUAGCUAAUACCGCAUAACAGUAGAUAUUGCAUGAUAUCUGCUUGAAAGGUGCAAUUGCAUCACUACCAGAUGGACCUGCGUUGUAUUAGCUAGUUGGUGGGGUAACGGCUCACCAAGGCGACGAUACAUAGCCGACCUGAGAGGGUGAUCGGCCACACUGGGACUGAGACACGGCCCAGACUCCUACGGGAGGCAGCAGUAGGGAAUCUUCGGCAAUGGACGGAAGUCUGACCGAGCAACGCCGCGUGAGUGAAGAAGGUUUUCGGAUCGUAAAGCUCUGUUGUAAGAGAAGAACGAGUGUGAGAGUGGAAAGUUCACACUGUGACGGUAUCUUACCAGAAAGGGACGGCUAACUACGUGCCAGCAGCCGCGGUAAUACGUAGGUCCCGAGCGUUGUCCGGAUUUAUUGGGCGUAAAGCGAGCGCAGGCGGUUAGAUAAGUCUGAAGUUAAAGGCUGUGGCUUAACCAUAGUACGCUUUGGAAACUGUUUAACUUGAGUGCAAGAGGGGAGAGUGGAAUUCCAUGUGUAGCGGUGAAAUGCGUAGAUAUAUGGAGGAACACCGGUGGCGAAAGCGGCUCUCUGGCUUGUAACUGACGCUGAGGCUCGAAAGCGUGGGGAGCAAACAGG
rnacentral:rRNA from 1 species